GUCUACGGCCACGCCACCCUGAACAAGCCCGAUGUCUGAUCUUGGAAGCUAAGCAGGGUCCGGCCUGGUUAGUGCUUGGAUGGGAGACCACCUAGGAAGACCAGGUGCUGUAGGCA
rnacentral:rRNA from 1 species